CCACUCUUGGUAAGCUAGAGCGCUCAGUCUUCACCGUCAUCCGGUAAGACGACAGUUUCAGGCGGGCAGUUUGACUGGGGCAGUCACCUCCCAAAAGGUAAUGGAGGUGUGCAAAGGUUUCCUCAGGCUGGACGGAAAUCAGCCAUAGAGUGUAAAAGCAUAAGGGAGCUUGACUGCGAGACUGACAUGUCAAGCAGAGACGAAAGUCGGCUUUAGUGAUCCGACGGUGCUGUGUGGAAAGGCCGUCGCUCAACGGAUAAAAGUUACUCUAGGGAUAAC
rnacentral:rRNA from 1 species